GGCACUCGGUGCCAUACUCGGCUCGAGUGUACCACUCUGUAACUGUGAACUCUGGAGGGGUAACCCUCAACAUAGGCCAAUGAGGCAAUAUUUUGAAUCAUCUGAAAUAACGUCUACAACCAACAAUACCAAACUAAACAUCUACAUAGGACUGGUAAAACGACAAAACUGAUAUAAAAAUGUACAGGACUCGUCUACAAGCCUCUAGGGAUAACUGAAUUGUAUCAUGGUCGGAACAGGGCCCGACCUACCCAUCAAACCUGUAUAUAUAAAAUGGACUCCAAGGUAUAGACCUGGUAACUCCAUGAAAGUGGAGCUUACCAACCAAGCUGAUGUUUGACUUUGCCUACUGGGAAGGUCUAUCCAGCUAUCUAUCAGGACCUGCAGGCAUGAAAUGCAGCGUCCCCAACAAAAAGAAAAGUCAGUAAGAAAUAAUGUAUCGAGUAUGUAAGGCAACAGAAUAACUGAAAGCUGAAACUAAACUGAUAAUAUAAUAACUGAAAGCACCUGGGCAUCAAAUAUAAUUUGAAGAUAUGCUUACCUUGAUACUGACUCAUCUUUCUUAAUAAAGUAAGUAAAAUAGCUGUCCGGCCCUAUAAGGCUCGGUAUUUGUAACUGCUCUGCCAUAGUAGGCUCACUCGUAGGUGCUCGGCCAUACUAGGCUCUGUAUCUCGGCUAACUGGGCUCGCUCAUAGGUGCUCGACCACAAUAGGCUCGGUAUAUAACUUACCAUUUGAUCGGAGGUUUUCCAAUAGGGGUCUGCCCAUCGAUUAUAGCUCGAUGGUGGUGAAAAUACUAUAAUACUGUAUAUAUAUAAACUCUCUGCUCUCUUGGCUGAAAAAAGACAAAACUAAACUGAAUAUGAAGUCCCGAUAAGGGAGAUUACUGUAGCAUAUGAGACUAGGAUAAUGUACAUAAAUUUAGGAAUAAGAACUCUCUUUAUGCCUCGUUAUCAAAUGCAUAUAGUUAGGAGAUCAUGCCAAAAUGAAGGAAAGGUUUAGACUUAACAUACCUUACAACAAUAUUUCCAAUAACCAAGUUUAACUCGCCUAUUCGCACCUUAAUCUACAAUAACAAUAAUAAUACUAUCAUUAAGUUAUGAAAGGUAGAACUAUCGCACAACGAACGACAAGCUUAUUUUGUAUAAAAAUGGACAGCAUCUCCCUUAUAAUCCUUACUUCCUCCAAAUUCAAGAUAAUACCAAUAACUCAAGAACAAAACAAUAUCAACAUAUAUACAUUAUUUUCCAAUCUUAUAUACACCACAAAAUACUAUAAAAUAGACCAACAGACACCGGUCUCUUCAUACACAAAACGACCAUCGUAGUAGUGUUAAAUAGUCCGAAAAUAUUACGACGAACAACCAGCCCUCCAUCCUGCAUUUAUGUGGUGUUUAUCCACACCCUUCCUCCUCCAAAACUCCAGAAUACAGUAGUAAAACACACAAUCCAACAACAACACAAAACAGUCCACAAAAUAGUCCGCUACAAGUGAAUAACUCGAACUCACGGCUUCCGAUCACCGCCCUGUGAGUUCUUACAAUUAUAUAACGACUUUCCAUACAUCUCCAGCGGAAAAAUUGGAUGAAAUAUAGCAGUAAAAUCACCUUAUUUGUUGAAUAACUCAGAUCCUAUCUUGGUUCUUCAAACUCUAAGUUUUACCUCCAACUAGAACUUGAAAACGAGAGAAAAUCAAUUAGGGUUUGUGGACAAUUUUUGGGAGGAUGUUUGCUGGGGUUUAGGCCUGGUUAUUGUGUUAUGUAAUUGAGUGUUAUAUUGCAGGAGAUAAGCCCUUAAAUGUACUUUUUGUCCGACCCGAAAUAGCCCCUUUUUGGACUCUCAUUUAAGCAAGUAGGUGACACACCUACUUGUCACCUAGCAGUCUGCGCAGUCUCGCAAAAAUGCAUAUAUCUCUCUACUCCGAUGUCGUAUUGACAAACGAUUUAAUGAGUUAGAAAAUAGACUUAUAGAUCUUCAAUUUGGUAGAUACAUAAUCCCUAAUUCCAAGUAUAUUGGAAGAAAAGCUCCGCUAUAUCUGACCUAAGUUUCAACAUAUUUAUGAAUGGAACUUGUGAUGACCUUUUCCAACUUGUGACGACAACUAUUAUACGUCUAAAAUAACUCNNNNNNNNNNNNNNNNNNNNNNNNNUUUAGUAACCUCCACGUUAACAUGAUUAACUAACUUCCUAAACUUUUCAAAGAUAAUUUUAUUUAUGAGCUUACAUCAAUUGACUUACGACGUACUCUUACAUACGAAAACAUGAGGUGAAAUACUGACAAAAAAUAAUAUUUUUUAACAUAAACUGAACCCCAUUAAUGAGCCAAUUUUACCAAAUGGUCAAUUACUUACAUGUAAUAAAAACAUGCAUAUAUUACGACUUCAUAUUAUAUACACCCUAUGUUAACAUGGUAUAUACGAACAUAGCAGGAUACAGCACAUCAUAAAGACCUCCAAGAAACUAGAUAAAGGUGACACGAAAAUCUGAAAUACCACACGAAGUUGGAUCAAUCACAUAGUAGCAUUCAGAGCAAAAACAGUGAAGUAGCAGGUGCAAGCCUCUACCAGCAAUUAUCUUAAUGCAGAUGCAAACUACUACAAAUGUUCUUCGUAUAUAUAGUAAUACCUGAAUUCAAAAACUACCUAAAUCUAAUAUUUUAUUGAAUAGACCUAUCAAAAUCAUAAUUAGAGGACUAUAGUAAGAUACAUGCAGAUCCAUGGAAUCAACAAUAAUAACUAACGUACUGAUUUAAAUGCCUACCUAUUUAGCCAAGGCAAAUAACUGGGUGAGAUGGAUAACAUACUUCAUCAUGCGUUAACUGAUCAAACAAUUGACGCAGUCGAGACACAGACAGCCUGGAGGAGUCAUUCUCGUUCAGUUUUCUCAGUUGAUCUAACCAUCUUAGCACCAAGGGAAACGUUGCAGAUGGCAUCCCAUUAGUGUCUAUAUUGAGAUUUCUAACAACCUUUGGAAUGUGCUCCAAUAUAAAUAUCUAGGAGAAUACAUAAAAGAAAAGAUUUAAUUCAAUAUCAUAUAAGAAGAGAACAAGACUAGUUAAUUGUAUUGUCAUUACCAUAAAAAAAAAAAAAAGGCUGCGUCCAGAAAGAGUUAUUCUUCUGUCAUUUUUUGGCACUUUCUAGACCCUUGUGGAGGUACGCUAACAUGGCUGCUCCCCAUGCAUAGUCUUCAAUUUUAUCAACAUCAUCCAAGAGAGCCAGAAAAUAUCCAGGAACGGCAAAUUUGGUUCUAGGAGCUAUUACAGACACUAUUAUGUACAGUACAUACACUCUGAUAUAUUGACUAUUUAGACAAUCAGAGUUCCCAUAUUUUCUCCCAAGGGACCUAAGACAAAUCCCUCCAGUUUUUAAGUCUAUACCUUUUCCGUUUGUUACUCCUAAAUAUUCUUUUGUCACUCCUAAAUAUUUUUCAUCAAACUUUUCAUCUUUUCCAUCUUGUCCAAUAACCGAUUUACCAUCUAUAGGCAACCCAGAUAUCUUCAGUAUAUCUUCUAAGCCGAAAAAGAAGUCCAAACCAUUAAACAGAAAACAUCUUUUAUCAGCGUCAUAGAAAUGAACCAACGCACUUAUCAGUUUGGUUAGAUGCUCAUGUCGCGAAGGUCUUAAAUUAAAAAUCUUAGCUAAAUUUUCAAAACCGAUUCCUUGUAACCGGUCGACAAGGACAACAUUAGACACUUCCCACAAGGAUAAAUUCUCUACAUGAUCUACAAUCUUGAGGACAUUCCAGCUGCAUGCAUGAAAAGUCAUAAUGAAACAUCAAUUCAAAAUCAUAAAAUUACAGGUGUAUUUGGUAUGAUGCAAGACAUUUUCCAUUGAAAAUGCUUUCCUGAAAAAUGUUUUCCAUGGAAUUUAGGGUGUUUAGUUAAUGAGUAGAAAAUAUUUUCAAUAACAAUAUAUAUACUCCCUCCAUUCCAAUUUAUUAGACACCCUUUCCUUAUUAGUCUAUUUAAAAGAAUGACACAUUUCUAUAUUUUGAAAACACUUUAAAUUUAAAUUUUUUAUUUUACUCAUUUUUCCCUUAAUGAGAAGCUUUUAUAGCCACACAAAUGUUUUCGCGUGGGCCCGAAACCCCGUAUUCGGAUUGCCUAAAAUUUAUCCAAACCAUCAAAAAUGACCUAAGGAACAUUGGUUAUAGCCCCGCCAUGACCGUUCCUCGUUUUUGGCGUUUUAGAGCCAUUAAACGAGAAUUCAGCCCGACUCCCACAUUUUCGUGUGCUAUAGCACACGCCUUCCGCGUGGGCCAGGACUCCCGGACCCCGACUUCCUAAAAUUUAUUAAGAACAUCGAAAACGAUCUAAGGAUUAGUGGUCAUCGCCUCGCCAUGAAUGUUCCUCAUUUUUGGCAUUUUAUGGUCAUAAAAGGAGAAUUCGGCCCGAUUCACAUAUUUUCGUAUUAUAACCCAUGCCUUCCGCUUGUGACUGGGCCCCCGGACCCAGAUCACCUAAUAUUUUUCUGGACCAUCCAAAAUGACCUAAGGAACACACCGCCCCCGCCAUGACCAUUCUUCAUUUAUUGGCGUUUUAGGGCUAUUCCCAUAUUUUCCUGUGUUAUACCUCAUGCCUUCCGCAUGGGCCCAUAUCACCGGACCUGGACCACCUAAAAAUUUCUGGACCAUAAAAAAUGACUUAAGAAACAUUAGUCACUGAUCCGCUAUGGCCGUUCUUCAUUUUUUAGCAUCGUCUAGGCGCCUCAGGGAAAUGUAUAGUCCUGCGGGAGUCCGUUCACCUUGAAGUGGAACUUUUAGGGCCAUGAAAUAAGAAUUGGAUCCGAUUCCCAUAUUUCUAUGUGGUAUAGCCCACGCCUUCCAUGUGGGCCUGGGACCCAGACCUGGACCGCAUAAAAUUUUUCUGGACCAAACAAAAAAUGACCUAAGGAACAUUAGUCAACGCCCCUCCAUGGUCGUUCCUCUUUUUUUGGCAAUUUAGGGCCAUAAAAUGAGAUUCGAUCCAAUUCCCAUAUUUUUAUGUGGUAUAGCCCACGACUUUCGCGUGGGCCCGAACCCCUGGACCCGGACCACAUAAAAUCUAUCCGGACUAUCAAAAAUGACCUAAGAAAUAUCGGUCACAUCUCCGCCAUGACCGUUCCACAUUUGUUUUGCGUUAUAAGGCUGUAAUACGAGAAUUCGGCCCGAUUCUCAUAUUUUUCGUGUGCUAUAUCCCACGUCUUCCGCGUGGCCACGGGCCACAGACUCGGACCGCUUAAAAUUUGUCCAUACUAUUGAAAAUGACCUAAGGAACAUUGGUUACCACCCCGCCAUGAUCUUUCCUCAUUUUUUGGCGUUUUAGAGCCAUAAAACGAGAAUUCGGCCUGAUUCUCAUAUUUUCGUAUGUUAUAGCACACGCCUUCUGCGUGGGCUCGGGUCCUCUGAUCCAGACAACCUAAAAUUUAUCCAAACCAUCGAAAAUGACAUAAGGAAUAUUGGUCACUGCCCCGCUAUGACCGUUCCUCAUUUUUGGCUCAUUUUUGGCGUUUUAGGGCCAUAAAAUGACAAUUCGGCCCGAUUCCCAUAUUUUCUCAUGGCCCACGCCUUUCGGCAUAUGCCCGAGCCCUCGCUACCCGGACUGCCUAAAAAUUUUUCGUAUCAUCAAAAACAACCUUAGGAACAUCGGUCACUACCUUGCCAUGGUCGUUCCUUGAUUUUUGGCAUUUUAGAGCCAUAAAAUGAGAAUUUGGCUUGAUUCUCAUAUUUUCGUGUGCUAUAGCCCACGCCUUCCAUGUGGGCCAAAGCACCGGAUCCGGACCGCAUAAAAUAUCUUCGAACAAUCAAAAAUGACCUAAGGAACAUUGAUCACUACCCCUCCAUGACCGUUCCUCAUUUCUUUGGUAUUUUAGGGCCAAAAAACAAGAAUUCGGCCUCGUUCCUAUAAUUUUGGGUGCUAUAGUCCACACUUUCCGCGUGGGCCCCACCUUCGGAUACGAACAACCUAAAAUUUAUUCGGACCAUAAAAAAUGACCUAAGAAAAAUUGGUCCCCAUCCCUCCAUGACUGUUCCGCAUUAUUUGGUGUUAUAGGGCCGUAAAACGAGAAUUCGGCCCGAUUCCCAUAUUUUUGAAUGCUAUACCCCAUGCUUUCCGCGUGGGCCGGGGCCCUCAAACCACCUAAAAUUUAUCCUGACCAUUAGAAAUGACCUAAGGAACAUUGGUCACCACCCCUCCAUGAUCGUUCCUCAUGUGUUGGUGUUUUAGGGCCAUAAAAUGAGAAUUCGGACAAAUUCCCAUAUUUACGUGUGCUAUAGCCCAUGCCUUCCGCGUGGGCCCUGGCCUUGGGCCCAGACAACCUAAGAUUUAUCUAAAUCAUUGAAAAUGACCUGAGGAAUAUUGGUCACCGCCCCACCAUAAUCGUUCCUCGUUUUUGGCGUUUUAGGGCCAUAAAAUGAGGAUUUGGCCCGAUUCCUAUAUUUUCGUAUGCUAUACCCACACCUUCCAUGUGGGCCUGGGCCCCCGGACCCAGACCCUCUAAAAUUUAUCAGGACCAUUAAAAAUAACCUAAGGAAUAUCGAUCAUUGCCCCUCCAUGAUCAUUCCUCAUUUUUUGGCAUUUUAGGACCAUAAAAUAAUAAUUCGGCCCAAUUCCUAUAUUUUUGUGUGCUAUAGCCCACACCUUCUGCGUGGACCCCACCUUCAGACCCGGACAACCUAAAAUUUAUCCAAACCAUAAACAAUGACCUAAGGAAUAUUGGUCCCCAUCCCUCCAUAACUGUUCCUCAUUUUUUGGAUUUUUAGGCCAUAAAACGAAAAUUCCAAUAUUUCUAUGUGCUAUGGCCCACGCCUUCUGUGUGGGCCCGUGCCCCUAACUUGAACUGCCUAAAAUUUAUUUACAUCAUCUAAAAUGACAUAAGGAACAUUGGUCACCGCCCCACCAUAAUCGUUCCUCGUUUUUGGCGUUUUAGGGCCAUAAAACGAGGAUUUGGCCCGAUUCCUAUAUUUUCGUAUGUUAUACCCACACCUUCCAUGUGGGCCUGGGCCCCCGGACCUAGACCCUCUAAAAUUUAUCAGGACCAUUAAAAAUGACCUAAGGAAUAUCGAUCAUUGCCCCUCCAUGAUCGUUCCUCAUUUUUUGGCAUUUUAGGAUCAUAAAAUAAUAAUUCGGCCCAAUUCCUAUAUUUUUGCGUGCUAUAGCCCACACCUUCCACGUGGACCCCACCUUCAGACCCGGACAACCUAAAAUUUAUCCAAACCAUAAACAAUGACCUAAGGAAUAUUGGUCCCCAUCCCUCUAUAACUGUUCCUCAUUUUUUGGAUUUUUAGACCAUAAAACGAGAAUUCCAAUAUUUCUAUGUGAUAUGGCCUACGCCUUCUGUGUGGGCCCGUGCCCCUGACUUGAACUGCCUAAAAUUUAUUUACAUCAUCUAAAAUGACAUAAGGAACAUUGGUCACCGCCCAUCCCUGACAGUUCCUUAUGUUUCAGCGUUUUAGGGCCAUAAAACGAGAAUUCUCCCCGAUUCUCAUAAUUUCGUGUGUUAUAGCCCACACCUUCCGUGUGGGCCCGGUCCCCCACAUCCGAACCGCCUAAAAUUUAUCCAGAGCAUUGAAAAUAAAUAUGGAACAUUGGUCACAGCCCCGCCAUGGACGUUCCUCAUUUUUGGCGUUUUAGAGCCAUAAAAUAUGAAUCCGGCCCGAUUCUCACAUUUUCGUGUACUAUAGCCCACGCCUUCUACGUGGGCUCAGACCCCUGGACCCGAACUUCCUAAAAUUUAUUCAGACCAAGGCUCAGCUCUUAAAACUGAGUGACGAGAAUCUAUCUUCAGAAACCUGCAAAUUUUCCCUUUAAAUCAAAAACAAACUAAGGAUCAUUGGUCACCGCCUCGCCAUGAUUGUUCCUCAUUUUUUGGAAUUUUAGGGCCAUAAAAGGAGAAUUUGACCCGAUUCGCACAUUUUCGUGCUAUAGCCCACACCUUCCUCUUGUGGUCGGCUCCAGGACCCAGACCACCAAAUAUUUUUUUGGACCAUCCAUAAUGACCUAAGGAACACACCGCCCUGCCAUGACCAUUCCUCACUUUUUUGGUAUUUUAGGGAUAUUAGCAUAUUUUUGUGUGUUAUAGAUCAUGCCAACUGCGUGGGCCGAAGCAUCGGACCUGGACCACCUAAAAAAUUUUUGGACAAUAAAAAAUAACCUAAGGAACAUUAGUCACCGCCCUGCCAUGGCCUCUCCUUGUUUUUUUGUAUUUUAAAGCCAUAAAACAAGAAUUCGGUCAGAUUCCCAUAUUUUCGUAUGGUAUAGCCCACGCCUUCCGCGUGGGACUGGGCCCCGGACCUGGACCGCAUAAAAUUUUUCUGGACCAUCAAAAAUGACCUAAGAAACAUUAGUCACCGUCCCACCAUGGCCGUUCCUCUUUUUUGGCAUUUUAGGAUCAUAAAAUGAGAAUUCGUUCUGAUACUCAUAUUUUUACGUGGUAUAGCCCAUGCCUUCUGCGUGGGCCCGAGUCCCUAGACUUGGACAACAUAAAAUCUAUCCGGACCAUCGAAAAUGACCCAAGGACCUCUGGUCACUGCCCUGCCAAGAAUGUUCUGCAUUGUUUGGCGUUAUAGGGCUAUAAAAUGAGAAUUCGACCUGAUUCUUAUAUUUUCGUGUGCUAUAGCCCAUGCCUUCCAUGUGGGCACGGGCCCCCGGACUCAGACCGCCUAAAUUUAUGCUGAUCGUCGAAAAUGACCUAAGAAACAUUGGUCACCGCCCCGCCAUAAAACGAGGAUUCAGCCCGAUUCCUAUAUUUUCGUGUGCUAUACCCAUACCUUCCACGUGGGCGAGGGCCCCCGAACACAAACAUCCUAAAAAUUUUCCGGACCAUUGAAAAUGGCCUAAGGAACAUUGGUCACCCCCCCCCCCCCCCCCGUCAUGAGCGUUCCUCAUUUUUUGGCAUUUUAGGGCCAUAAAAUGACAAUUCGGUAUGAUUCCCAUAUUUUCGUAUGCUAUAGCCCACGCCUUUCGCUGUGUGCCGGGGCCCCCAGACUCGGACUGCCUAAAAAUUUUUUGUACAAUUGAAAAUGACCAUAAGAACAUUGUUCACUGCCCUGCCAUGACCGUUCCUCGUUUUUUUGGCAUUUUAGGGCCUGAAAAUGAGAAUUCGGCCUGAUUCCCAUAUUUUCAUGUGCUCUAUCCCACGCCUUCUGCGUGGGCCCAAGCCCUGGAUCUGGAUCACAUUAAAUAUCUUCAAACCAUCUAAAACGACCUAAGGAACUUUGGUCACUGCCCCUCCAUGAUCGUUCCUCGUUUAUUGUAUUUUAGGGCUACAAAAUAAGAAUUCGAACAGCCUAAAGUUUAUCCGAACCAUAGAAAAUGACCUAAGGAAUAUUGGUCCCCGCCCUGCCAUGAUUGUUCACAUUUUUUGGCGUUAUAGGGUCAUAAAAUGAGAAUUCGUCUCGAUUCUCAUAUUUUCGUGUACUAUAGCCCAUGCCUUCCAUGUGAGCCCCGGCCCCCGACCUAAACCGCAUAAAAUUUAUCCGAGCCAUUGAAAAUGACCUAUGGAACAUUGGACAUCUCCCCGCUUUGACCAUUACUCAUUUUUGGCAUUUAAGGGCCAGAAAUCGAGAAUUUGGCCCGAUAUUCAUAUUUUCGUGUGUUAUAGCCCAUGCCUUUUUCGUGGGCCCGGGCCCCCGGAUCCGGACCAACGAGAAAGAAUUAAGGAAGAUUGUUUCCUGCCUCUCCAUGACCAUUCCUCGCUUUUUGGCGUUUUAGACCAUAAAACAAUAAUUCUGCCCGAUUCCCAUAUUUUCGUGUGUUAUGGUCCACGCCUUUCAUGCGGGCCCGGUCCCCCGGACAUAGACCGCUUAAAAUUUAUUCGGACUAUCGAAAAUGACCUAAGGAAUAUUGGUGACCGCCUCGCCAAGACCGUUCCUCGUUUGUCGACAUUUUAGGGUCAUAACAUGAGAAUUCGGCCUGAUUCCUAUAUUUUCGGGUGGUAUAGCCCAUGACUUAUACGUGGGCCCGACCUCCAAACCCGGACCGCCUAAAUUUUUUCCAUGCCACAAAAAUGACCUUAGGAAGAUUGGUCACCGCCUCGGGAUGGCCAUUCCUCAUUUUGGCAUUUUAGGGACAUAAAACGAGAAUUUACCCGAGUCCCGUAUUUUUGUGUGCUAUAGCCCAUGCCUUCUGCGUGGGCCCAGGACCCCGAAUCUGGACUGCCUAAAAUUUAUCCAGACCAUCGAAAAUGACUGAAGGAACAUUGGUCAAACCCCCCCCCCCCCCCAUGAUCGUUUCUGGUUUUUGGCGCUUUAGAGCCAUAAAACGAGAAUUCGGACCGAAUUCCCAUAUUUUCGUGUACUAUAGCCUACGUCUUCUGCAUGGGCCCGGAUCCCCGGAAAUGGUCUUCCUUAAAUUUAUUCGGACCAUCAAAAACAACCUAAGGAUCAUUGGUCACCUUCUCUCCAUGAAGGUUCCUCAUUUUUUAGCAUUUUAGGGUCGUAAAAGAAAAAAUUAUCCCGAUUCGCAUAUUUUUGUGUCCCACGCCUUCCGCAUUUACCCGGGCCCCCGGACUUGGACCACCAAAUAAUUUUCCAGACCAUCCAAAAUGGCAUAAGAAACACACCGCUCCGCCAUGACCAUUCCUCAAUUUUUGGCGUUUAGGGCUAUUUCUAUAUUUUUGUGUACUAUAGCUCACGCCUUUUGCGUGGGCCGGGACCACCGGAGCUGGACCAUCUAAAAAUUUUCUGGAUCAUCAAAAAUAACUAAUAAACAUUAGUCACCACCCCACCAUGACCAUUCCUCUAGCGUCUUAGACCCAUAGAACAAGAAUUCAGUUCGAUUCUCUUAUUAUCGUAUGCUAUAGCCUACGCCUUACGCGUGGGCCCGAGCCCCCGAAGCCAGACCGCCUAAAAUUUUGUGCGACCAUCAAAAAUGACCUAAGAAACAUUGGUCACUGCUUCGCCAGGACCGUUCCAUGUUUUUUGACGUUUUAAGGGCAUAAAACGAGAAACCGAUCUGAUUUCCAUAUUUUCGUGUGCUACAGCCCACGCCUUACUACACAAAAUUUAUUCGAUCAAUGAAAAAUGACUUAUGGAAUAUUGGUCACUACCUCGCCAUGACUAUUUCUCAUUUUUUGGUAUAUUAGGGCUAUAAAACGAGAAUUCGACCCGAUUCCCAUAUCUCACUGUGCUAUAGCCCUUGCUUUCCGCCUGGUCCCUGUCCCUUGGAUCCGGACCACCUAAAAUGUUUUUGGACCAUCAAAAAUUCCUACGUAACAUAGCCCAUUCAUGAUCGUUCCUCUUUUUUUGGUGUUUUAGGGUCAUAAACUGUGAAUUCGACCUGAUUCUCAUAUUUUCAUGUGCUAUAGCCCACUCCUUCCGCGUUGGUCCGAGCCCCCAGACACGGACCGCCUAAAUUUUUCAUGACAAUCUAAUACUACCUUAGGGACAUUUCUCACCGCCCUGCCAUAAUCAUUCCUCAUUUUAUGACAUUUUAGGACCAUAAAAGUAGAAUUCGGUCUGAUUCUCGUAUAUUUGUGUGCUAUAUCUCACACCAUCUGUGUGGGCCCGGGCCACGGGACACGUACCACCUAAAAAAAUUUCUAACCAUCAAAAAUGACCUAAAAACAUUGGUCUCCGCCCUGUCAUGAUGUGUUUACCGCGAAAAUGGUACUAACAAUUAAAUUUAAUUUUGUGGUUCUAAAAAUAUGUGAUCUAUUUUUAUGCUAGUUGUUAGGUAGUUGAUGCUAUCUUAAAGACUUAGAAAGGAUAUAAGAGCUGAAAAACAAGAUGUUAACCAAACCGAGUGUCUGUGGAUGGGGCCUCGAGUUUGCUUAUUCGGGGCCUCGGGGUCGAGUCUAAUGCCCCGCCAAGGGUAGUCGAUGGAGACUAACAAUUAUAAAUAAAUCAAUGACAACUCUUUAUGGCCAGUAAUAAGUAAUAAAUGAAGAAUAAUAAAUAGCACACAAUGAAUAUAAGUAAUAAAUGAAGCAAUGAGAUCAAGAGAAUAUGUUAGAGAACAGAGAGAAUGUUCUUGAGUUUUCAGUAUUGAGCAUCAUGUUACUACAAAAUAACAAGGAUCCACUUUAUAUAUGAGGGAAAAUCCCAACAUAGUACAAAUACAUUUAUUACAAAGAUAUAGAGAUGAGACAACUAGUUGAUAUCUUGAUUCGGGUCUGAAUUUAGCUCACUAGACUGUAUCAGCUCUAGUUAUGCGCCUUGUGAACUCCCCACUUUUCCUUUAUAGCCAUUGGUCUGCAUCGUCUUGAGGUCGAGCGUCGAUAUCCCUCGAGGGUGAACCUCGACCCUAGUCUCAAACCUACGAAAUAUGCUUACGAGGCACCGCAACAACGGAAAAUUGGACCCUCUGAUUUUAUCGUAUACAGAUAGUCCCCGUGUUUCUUAGAGUGAAAGUGAUAAGAAACGACCUUGAAUUCCUGCCCCUCUGGUACUUCCGUAACGACGACAGUCAUAAGGUGCCAAAAGACGGCGUACAUACACCCCUUAAAAGCCUUCGCGUUGAUUAUGGCGGUUGGUUGUCCUUUGGCCUCCUUCAAUAUGUGUGUGGGGCCUCUAUAAAUACUUCUCUUCUCGUUCUUUACAACUCACUGCACCACCAAGCCCCAAAAAAGGUUCCUACUACCUUUACUUUUGUUAUUUCUUCGAAGCGCAACUUCUCUGUCUCUUCUGAAAUCUUUUAGGAAAGGGGACAACUUCCACUUCGCUUAGGAGAACAUGACCUCUUCCUCUUUGCUUCCAUAUUAAGGCAAAGCGGCAAUGCCUCCUCGUGCUGAGGAAUGCGUUCUAGGAUUUUUUGCAACAGCUUCCGAUUUCAAGGUCGAGAGACCUUCUUCGAUGCUGGGGCGUCGUGAGCCUGUGUCUCAGUAUAUUAGCUCAAUAACAGAAGUCGAAAGGAUGAGGACUAAUUACCACUGGGAGGACGCGGUUCUUGUGGAGAUCCCUACUCGGGAGGAGGAUAUAACAACAUACAAAGUCGAUUUUCUCAGUGUUUAUACUUACCCAUUUACCCUUGGGCCGGUGGGUCCUUCCUUGCCUCCAAUUGAUCUUGUGAUUCUUGACUUCUGCCAAUAGUAUCAAGUGACCCUUGGCCAAAUUCACCCUUCGUUCUAGCGCAUUAUCUGCGUGAUCCAGUACUAUGUGAAUAUGACUGAAGGGAUGCCCUUCACCCUCGAUCACCUGAUCAGGAUGUAUAACCCCCAUCUCUUCCAUGGGGGUCUGAUUAAGCUCCACUGCCGAAAUUCGAGGGCCUUUUUUGCUUGCAUCAAAGAAGUGGGGAACGGAGGGUGGAUGAGUCGCUUUGUCCGAGUUAGGACUUCAGACUUAUUUCGGUGGAAAGGAUGCCAUUCCUUGAGAGGUGGAACAUGGAAUGUAAUUAGAUACAUUAUAUAUCAUUUCCUUGCUUCUUUUUAGGUACAUUUUUCCACGCACUUAAUUUCUUCUGCUAAUGCAGUCGUAGCAAUUUAACCUGACACGGUCACGGACCUCUCAGGCUAGGUCAGCCAGCUGGACUCGAUUUGCCCAUAUGCUGAGCGAGUGUGGCGUGAUCUGUCCCAAUCUUGAUGGGAAGCUAAAGACCAUGGUGAGCCUUCACCCUUGUUGCAGUCGUACAUUCUAAUAUGAAUCGCUACUAAUAGCUCUCUCACUUCCUAUGCUUACCUCUUGCCUUUGUAUAGGUCUGGGGGAGGUCCCCCUGAUAAAGGGAACGUCUCUUGGUGAAGAGGGUACUUUGGGACCUGACGAAGGGAAGAAAAGACAAAGGGAACCGUCGAAUGAACUUUUAGAAUCCAAGAAGAUCAAGGUGGAAGAAACUAAAGACAACCCAACAGCCCUAACUCCGGAAGCAGCGGGAAGUCCCCGAGUUGAAGGCGAGGGGGAAAAUAAUUUUUUGAUAGCGUCCGAGGGAGGGAAAAACCUGAUCGACCCUCAGGACGUAGAGAUGGUGGCUCCCGAGCUGGAGCUUGAUGUCGUCGUGGUCCAGCUUCGAAAUGUAGAGACCACUGAGAGAGUAUCGAGUGAGGUACCCGAGCCGACCAAUAGCCAAAAUACUCCUCGAGCUGGGACACAUUCGUAGGUGGUUCGGAGGAGCCCAGUUUUGGAGCCCUGCAUGGACAAGAGAUGGCCCUGAUCGACCCUGUUGGUGCCGUUGUCGUGAGUGAUUCCCCUCAAGGAAUGACCUUACCUCCUAAAGGAAUGCAAGAUGCCCCAAAUGAAGAACCUUCCGAUGUGGGGGUGCCUAUCAGAGACAUAGAUGCGCUUAAAAGGCCUUCAGCCUCCGGAGGGGAUUCCCGAGCUCGAUGCUUCACUCGUCUUCGGCGAGAUGAGCAGGCUUUGUGAGCAGGUAGUUUUUGUAAAUCCUGCCUGUCGUUCUGAUCUUUGUCUUUAUAACUUGUCUUUUUUUAUGGCUUCAGGCCAGGGCGCUUUAUAAUCAAACUUUCGCCCAGUUUUAGGUUGAGGUGACCCGUCAUGAGCAUGAGAAGGCUCAUCUUGUUGAACAGGUUACCUAGUUUCCGUUUGUUAUUGUCUGAAUGAUUGCCAGAUCUCAGUGUUUUAACAUCUUGGAUCUGAUUCGUGCAAUUUGAGAAGGAAGGUUCCUUUCUGAGAGAGGAGCUCCGAGCCAGAGAAUCCGAAAUCCUCGAACUCAAACGGUGCAUGAGAGAGAUAACCUCUGAGAGGGAUACUGUAGAUAUGUGAUUUUUGACCCUCCCCAAGAUUUUACUUAUUUUAGCAUUUAAAUACUUAGUUUAGGCCUAAUAUCUUUAUUUCAACUAAUUUUGGCUCUUUUACUUUAUUUCGUCACAAAAAAUAAAAAUUACAAAAAUAUUUUAGUUUACGUAUCUUUCAUAAAUUUAAAUAAAAAAUAUAUAAAAAAUAGUGCCUUAUUUUUAUUUUUAUAUAAUCUUGAAAACACAAAAAUAGUUUCAUAUUUUAAUAUAGUUUAGUUCAAUUAAUUAAGAUUAAUUUUAUAUUUUUAUAUUAUAAAUUAUAUAUUUAGAAGGAAGAGUUAGUUUUGGGUUAGUUUAUCCUAUUUUAAUCUUGUAGUCCAUUUUUUUAGUCUUUGGCCCAAUUUUAAGGCCCAAUAAUACCAAACCCAUACCCUUUAAACUAAAAACCCUUUCUAUAUAAUAAAAAAUUAGCCUAAAAAUACCUAAUCCCUAGACCCCUAAGGAUCAUCAACCGUUUCUAUCACAAGACACCCCCCUCCACAACCAAACUUCAUCUUCUUCUUCAUGAAAAAAACCAAAGAAAAAACCCUAGACUCCAUUGAAGCUCCCAGCCGCACCGCUCCAAAACGACCCCUCAUCUUAUCUUCUUCACAACCAGACUUAACCCUAGAGACCAAACCCCUAUUGCCAUCUCCACUCAACACAUAACACCAGCAAGCCCCUUCAACAGCCUUCACGCCAAGAACUCGACACAGCCACACACACACAGAAAUGCAAAGACAUAUGUCACACCUCUUUUUUACCACCCCGCUAAGGGGUAUAAAGGAGUUUUUUCCAACUUAAAGUGACAAUUGAAAUAGGAUUAUUUAUUUUAAAUUCAGAGUCGCCACUUGGGAUAGUUUAUGAUGUCCAAAGUCACCGGUUCGAAUCCCAAAUGGAGGAAAGAUUGACUCUGUUCUAUUGUCCGCGAACACAGAAAUUCGGGUAAGAAAUUCUAUUAACCCGGGAGAAGGUGUUAGGCAUUCCCGGGUUCCGUGGUUCUAGUACGGUCGCUCAAACUAUUAUAAUUGGCCUAUUAUCUGAUUUUAAUACAUGUUUAGACCUAUGUGCAUUUACACUUUUUAGCCGCCUUUAAUAUUUCGGGAAAAUUUAAGGUUAUUUAAAACACAUCGUAAGUCACGCUACAUGAAAUGUACCCGUGGUUCACGACACGUUCUAUUUAAACUUGUUGAAAAUUAGAACUUGGUCACAUGAAAUGCACCCCCGGAUUUCAAUAGCCAUGAGAAUUAUAUAUUCAACGCGCCUAAAGCAAAUUGCGAGGUUCAUAUGUUUCACACACAGCUCAGUCUCAAAUGUGGUAAAUAAGAAUCAAUGGCUUCAUUUCUCAAUCACGGUAAGGUAAAUCACAAUAAACAAAAAAGUACUAGUAAACAUGAUUCAUCCAUUGAAAUUAUCACGGGUCAACAAAGAAACAAUAGUAAUGCAGCAAUAAGUUUAUACAUUCUUAAAGCUUUGUGUAACUAUAGCUGCAUAACUUUUUUAUCUCUAUCAUUUGUUUAAAAUCACAUAUAAGCCAAAAAGAUUUUACUCAUCACAUUCGCUCACUGUAGUAUAAGAAUCUAAGUUGUGACAAACAAAAAGGAACACACAUCUUUUACGGCCAAUUCACCAAGCAUAAAAACUAAUAUGUAAUAUGAUAUUUUUUAAAGAUAAAACCGUGCAAUCACAUGAGUAGACAAUUUAUUAGCUAAACCAAUAAUGAAGCUCGAUAACUAAAUGAAAGCAAAACAAGCAGUAAGAGAAUGUACUUCAUUUUUAUAAACUUCACAAUAAAAGCAAAAAAAAGGUAUGUAUUCAUAUACAUAGUAAUAAAACAAACAAAAACAAAAUUGAAAGAAAUAGAUCUCAAAACAAACCUUCACAAAAAUGGACUGAGCUACUGCUGACCGGACCAACAAUCGAAAGCCUCGAACGGAACAUGACAACUUCGCCGAACCUCGCUUUCACUGUCGGGAUGCAGAUUAAUGGAGGUGAAAGAGUGACAUCGUUUUUUGGUCGUCAAUGGCACUGCUUCAGUCGACGUGGAGAGGACGACGCCAAGAGGGGUCGGGUUUUUGUGUAUUGCAGCGCUUUUAAUUCUCAUCAAGAACAGCGCUGCCAGCUUUUCCGUUCCUUUUAGGUCAACUUUUUUUUGGUCUUGAGAAUUUUGGCUGAUCUCUUUUCAAAUGAAAGAAAAUGGCCGAUUGAAGAAGCAGCUGCUGGAGAAUUCUCUUUGUCUCUUCUCAUAUGAAAAAAUAGCGGAUCCAAUCUUUUUGGGGUCUAGGGGUGUUUAGGGAUUAGGUACUAUUAUAUAGGGGUAGGGAUUAUGUUAGGGGUAUGAGCUUGGGAAUUAUGGGCUAGGUCCAAAAUUAAGCCUAAAAAUGGGUUGCUCAAGCAAAGUUUUAUUUUUU
rnacentral:lncRNA from 1 species